GCAGCUUGUGGUGCAGAAGCCCAAAGUGAUGCCAUCCAGCCUGCCCACAUCAGAGAGGCCAUUCGACGCUACGGCCACAAGAUUGGACCCCUUUCCCCUUACACAAGCGCCUACCGCAGAAAUGGGAUGACUUUUCUGGCUUGCUAAUAUGGAUGUGCCUACAGCAACAAGAAAGAAGACAGUAUUAUAUUAAGGACGGACUCAUUGCCAAAAGUUGCUGCUGUACAGCUAAUCAUAAGAGCCAAGGACUUAAAGAGUCCAAAUACUGGACAUUCACCAUAACCAGCCUUAUACGGAUCAAUCUCUUUAGAAGUCAAUGUUUAGAUGUGGUUACUUUACUGAAUUAUUGCAAUUGAUAUAUUCAGUAUUAUGCUUUCCAUAGUGGCAUAAUUAUACUUUAAAAACAUUUUGCAUGUCAUUUUUCUGGAAUUGAUCUGAUGUUAAAGAACUAAAAAUAGUGUAUACAGUAAAGAAGAAAACCCAUUGCUGAUGUUCUGUCUGUGCUUGCUGAAAUGUAUGAUUAAACCUUUCUUUUUAUCAUGA